rnacentral:rRNA from 1 species
GUCCGCCUACGGGGCGCAGCAGUAGGGAAUCUUCCACAAUGGGCGAAAGCCUGAUGGAGCAACGCCGCGUGGGUGAAGAAGGUCUUCGGAUCGUAAAACCCUGUUGUUAGAGAAGAAAGUGCGUGAGAGUAACUGUUCACGUUUCGACGGUAUCUAACCAGAAAGCCACGGCUAACUACGUGCCAGCAGCCGCGGUAAUACGUAGGUGGCAAGCGUUAUCCGGAUUUAUUGGGCGUAAAGGGAACGCAGGCGGCCUUUUAAGUCUGUUGUGAAAUACUUCGGCUUAACCGGAG